GGGGGCUGCCGCCCCCGGGCGCAGGUCCGGCUGGGGAGCGGAACGGCAUGGGAGGGCCGGCCGCAGCGGGUGACAGCCCCGUACGCGAACCCAGACCGGACGGCGCGACGCGGUCCCUGAGUAGGGCCGGGCACGUGAAACCCGGUCCGAACCUGGGUGGACCACCAUCCAAGCCUGAGUACUACCCUGUGACCGAUAGCGCACCAGUACCGUGAGGGAAAGGUGAAAAGCACCCCGGGAGGGGAGUGAAACAGUACCUGAAACCGUGCGCCCACGAGCAGUCGGAGCAACUUUUAGUUGUGACGGCGUGCCUUUUGUAGAAUGAGCCAGCGAGUCGCUGGCGCGGGGCGAGGUUAACCGAAAGGGAGCCGGAGCGAAAGCGAGCCUUAACAGGGCGACUUGAGUCCCGCGCCGCGGACGCGAAGCCGGGUGAGCUAUCCGUGGGCAGGCUGAAGCGGGGGUAAGACCCCGUGGAGGGCCGAACGCACGUCGGUUGAAAACGGCGGCGAUGACCUGCGGAUAGGGGUGAAAGGCCAAUCAAACCCGGAGAUAUCUCGUUCUCCCCGAAAUAGCUUUAGGGCUAGCGUCGCGCGUUCACCGCCGGAGGUAGAGCACCGGAUGGACGAGGGGGCUUCGCCGCCUACCGAAUCCAACCGAACUCCGAAUGCCGGCGGCCCAGAGCGCGGCAGUCAGAGCAUGUGGGCUAAGCUGUGUGCUCGAGAGGGAAACAGCCCGGACCGCCCGCUAAGGUCCCCAAGUUCCAGCCGAGUGGCAAAGGAUGUGCGUCCGCCCAGACAACCAGGAUGUUGGCUUAGAAGCAGCCAUGCAUUCAAAGAGUGCGUAACAGCUCACUGGUCGAGUGGACAUGCGCCGACAAUACACGGGGCUAAGCUGGACACCGAAGCGGCGGGAUUUUAAUUCAUUAGAAUCGGUAGGGGAGCUUCCCAUGGGCGGAGAAGCCGGAGGGCGACCGACGGUGGAGCGCAUGGGAGUGAGAAUGCUGGCAUGAGUAGCGAGAGACGAGAGAGUAACUCGUCCGCCGUGAACCCGAGGUUUCCUGGGCAAGGCUAAUCCUCCCAGGGUCAGUCGGGGGCUAAGGCGAGGCCGGUAGGCGUAGCCGACGCGCAGCAGGCAGACAUUCCUGCACCGCGCACGCGGCGCUACGACCGACGGGGCGACGGAUGGGGGUGGCUCGGCGGGGUUCUGGACGUCCCCGUGAUGGAGCGCGGCCCGCGGACCAGGGAAAUCCGGUCCGCAUUGAGGGCGAGGCUCCGGACGAAGCGAUUGAGCGAAGCGAGUGAGCCCGAGGUCCCUAGAAAAACCCCUAGGCAGGCGCGUGCGCGCCCGUACCGCAAACCGACACAGGUGGGUGGGUAGAACAUACCGAGGCGAUCGGGUCAACCAUGGUCAAGGAACUCGGCACAAUGGCCCCGUAACUUCGGGAGAAGGGGUGCCCGCGCGUACGUGAACCGGCUCGCCCGGGGAGCGGAGGCGGGCCGCAGUGGAGAGGCCCAAGCGACUGUUUACCAAAAACACAGGACUCUGCAGAAGCCGCAAGGCGACGUAUAGGGUCUGACGCCUGCCCGGUGCCGGAAGGUCACGCGGAGGAGUUAGCCGAUUCGGCGAAGCCCCGAAGCCAAGCCCCGGUAAACGGCGGCCGUAACUAUAACGGUCCUAAGGUAGCGAAAUUCCUUGUCGGGUAAGUUCCGACCUGCACGAAAGGCGCAACGACUUGGGCGCUGUCUCGACCAUGGACCCGGUGAAAUUGCACUGGUCGUGAAGAUGCGACUUACCCGCGGAAGGACGGAAAGACCCCGUGAACCUUCACUGCAGCUUGGCAUUGGCCGCUGGUCCCGCGUGUAGAGGAUAGGCAGGAGGCACAGAUCCGGAGGCGCCAGCCCCCGGGGAGCCGCCCUUGGAAUACUGCCCUCGCGCGACCGGCGUCCUAACCCGAGGCCGUCAACCGGCUCGGGGACCGUGCCAGGCGGGCAGUUUGACUGGGGCGGUCGCCUCCUAAAGGGUAACGGAGGCGCGCGAAGGUCCGCUCGGGACGGUCGGCAACCGUCCUUUUGAAUGCAAGAGUACAAGCGGGCUUGACUGCGAGGCCCACAAGCCGAGCAGGUGCGAAAGCAGGCUCUAGUGAUCCGGCGGCCCCGAGUGGGUGGGCCGUCGCUCAACGGAUAAAAGGUACUCCGGGGAUAACAGGCUGAUCUUGCCCAAGAGUCCACAUCGACGGCAAGGUUUGGCACCUCGAUGUCGGCUCAUCGCAUCCUGGGGCUGGAGCAGGUCCCAAGGGUACGGCUGUUCGCCGUUUAAAGCGGUACGCGAGCUGGGUUCAGAACGUCGUGAGACAGUUCGGUCCCUAU
rnacentral:rRNA from 1 species